rfam:Ictidomys tridecemlineatus contig020385, whole genome shotgun sequence.
GGGGUUGUGGCUCAGUGGUAGAGCGCUCACCUAGCACGUGUGAGGCCCUGGGUCUGAUCCUCAGCAUCACAG